rnacentral:rRNA from 1 species
UACGUAGGGUGCGAGCGUUAAUCGGAAUUACUGGGCGUAAAGUGUGCGCAGGCGGCAGAGCAAGUCGAGUGUGAAAGCCCCGGGCUUAACUUGGGAAUUGCGCUCGAAACUACUUUGCUGGAGUGUGGCAGAGGAAGGUGGAAUUCCACGUGUAGCGGUGAAAUGCGUAGAGAUCCGGAAGAACACCGGUGGCGAAGGCGGCCUGCUGGGCAGUUGCUGACACUGAGGCGCGACAGCGUGGGGAGCAAACAGG